GCCGAAGUGGCGGAAUUUGGUAGACGCGCUAGAUUCAGGAUCUAGUGGGCAAUAUGCCUGUCGGGGUUCGAGUCCCCGCUUCGGCACCA
rnacentral:tRNA from 1 species